UGAGCACGUAGUGGGGUUUGUAAGUCAGAUGUGAAAGCCUUCUGUUCAACGGGAGAAUUGCAUCUGAAACUGCUAAUCUUGAGUAUAGGAGGGGAGAAUGGAACUUCUGGUGGAGCGGUGAAAUGCGUAGAUAUCAGAAGGAACGCCGGCGGCGAAAGCGAUUCUCUGGCCUAUUACUGACACUCAGUGUGCGAAAGCUAGGGGAGCAAACGGGAUUAGAUACCCCGGUAGCAAGCAUU
rnacentral:rRNA from 1 species